rnacentral:pre_miRNA from 1 species
GGCGGCGGCGGCGCCGGGGCAUCGCCGGGGCGGGAGCGGGAGCUCGGCCGCCCCGCAAGCCGACCCGGGGGGCGCAGGCCGGUAG